UGAGAGGGUGACCGGCCACAUUGGGACUGAGACACGGCCCAAACUCCUACGGGAGGCAGCAGUGGGGAAUAUUGCACAAUGGGCGAAAGCCUGAUGCAGCGACGCCGCGUGAGCGAAGAAGUAUUUCGGUAUGUAAAGCUCUAUCAGCAGGGAAGAUAAUGACGGUACCUGACUAAGAAGCACCGGCUAAAUACGUGCCAGCAGCCGCGGUAAUACGUAUGGUGCAAGCGUUAUCCGGAUUUACUGGGUGUAAAGGGAGCGCAGGCGGUGCGGCAAGUCUGAUGUGAAAGCCCGGGGCUCAACCCCGGUACUGCAUUGGAAACUGUCGUACUAGAGUGUCGGAGGGGUAAGCGGAAUUCCUAGUGUAGCGGUGAAAUGCGUAGAUAUUAGGAGGAACACCAGUGGCGAAGGCGGCUUACUGGACGAUAACUGACGCUGAGGCUCG
rnacentral:rRNA from 1 species